rnacentral:lncRNA from 1 species
CUGAAGGACUUCCAGGGAGGUGACACCGUUGUCAAUGACCGCCCCCCCAUGCCUCUGGCCCUGGCCCUGGCCCUGACUCCCCACCUACAGUUCCACUGUGUGCACACCACAGCCUUCCCACCGGCCCCCAAGACUCUUGUCCUGAUCCCUGGUGACAUGGCCCGGUUGAACACUGGCUUCAGACCCUCCCCGCCCGAGCUCCCUCCUCCCAUGAGCCUCCUCACCUUGGCUCUGCUCUGCUCAGCCUGUUCACUCAACCACCAUUUCCCUCCCACAUCCCCUGGUGGCCCCUUCCAGAGCCUGUCCUCUAAACCAGAUUCCAGGGCCUUCUGCCCUUUUGAGGGUCCCCAAGGUCCCUCCUAUGCUUGCUCACCAGUGCUCAACAUCUGGUGUAUGGCAUUAGUGUAUUUCAUUACUGUAACGAAGCCCCCAAGGCAGCCUGCUUUACUAAAAAGGUUUCUGCAGCUCACCCUGUGAGAGGCUGAAAGUCCAAGGUCAGGCCACCCAUUGGUCCAGCCCCUGGCAGAUGGUGUCACAGGCAGCAAUGUUUGCUGGAGAAAGAUGUCACAUGGCAAGACAGGAAGCCAGACAGCAGCUAGGGUCUUAUAGUCCCUUUGGAGGGCACGGCCCCGUUGAUGGUCAGUUGUCUCCCUCUACGCCCCUCCUGUAACAGUGUCACACUGAGGACAAGUUUCCAAACACGAACUCUGGGGACAGAUCACAUCUGAACCAUGGCCUGUGCUCAAGGUGAAGGCGGCUCACAGCCAAGGGCUAAAGAACAACAUCAGCAAAUCAAAGAUAUGUGCAGGGAAAACCAGACAGAAGCUUCCAGAAUCUCCCCACCGUGGAGUCACACAUGUGUGACCGACAACACGUGUGCAACAUGCUCAUCACAGAAGCUUGGUAGACUCGGUGCCCAAGCUCCCAUUGGGGCUGAUCACGUGGACUCCCUCUGCCUCUUGUUUAAAAGCCUCCCCAGUCCCUGCUGGCAUUCAGGGACAGGAUCCUCACUCCUCUUAUGACUGCAGUCUCCCCUGGUAGUCGCUGCCCCGGGGCCUUGGCACUUGCCUCACCCUAGGCUGGUGGUGCCCUGAUAUCGCACAGCCCGCUGGUCUAACUCGACUCUCUCCUCUCAUCCUGUGUCCUAGCUGUAGGAAGUCGCUUGCUUUCCUGCUAAGUCUGUCCCCCUUCAUCACGCCUUUGCCUUGAGCACAAGAAUGGGGACCUUUGACUUGUGUGGUCUGCACCCAUUCAAUUAAUGAAGGCUCACGCGGCCUCCAGGGCUGAGCAGGGAGGAGCUGGUGUCGCGGCCUCUGCAGAGCAACCAGCUCCCCCACAGCCAGCUCGGGCUGAGCCGCCACCUGAGCCCUCGUCCAGUGUCCCCCUCUCUGGGUGCCCCAAAUCCCACCAAGGGAAAGGCAGUACAAACUCAAGGUGGGAGCCCGGCCACACGCUCCCCGCCUGGCCAGAUUGGC